AAUUGGAUACAGUAUUAUUGCCUGCAUGGAUAGGACAUUAAGCCAAUCAUUAUAGAUAGAAUGAGAUUCCAGAAAUUGGCGGGCCAUUUGCAGACCCAUCUUUGUUCACGGAACAGUGGCGAGGCAUUCUUCAAGUGUGCGCGCGAUUGCCCACCUGCAAAGUACGUUCGAGAUGUCUUGGCAUAUGCAGACCUGCGCGAGACUCGCCCGUCUCCCCUCGCGAGAAGGGUAGGACAGGUGCACAUACUUUGUAGAAUGAAAUUGAACUCUGUCAAAACACCAGAGCUCUGGAUGACAGGUUACAGUGUGCACAGAGGCGUUCUGCUAGAUAUUAAAGCGAAGCUUUCUAUGCCUCCUCCCUUUUAAUUUCCAAUUCUGCUGCUGCUGCUGUCACUGCCUUGCCAGCCGCGGCGGUGGGUGGUUUCAGAGCGUGCAUAAUGUACAUGAGAGGGACUCAGGGAAGGCGUGUGCGAGCCCUUUUAGCGAGAACUUCGUGGGCAUCGCUACAAUACUCUCUGGACCCCUUUGGCCGUCAUAAUGCCCACUGAAACACCCUGGUCAUCGACACAAUGCCAUCUGGAAGACUAACGACGAGACAAGAGAAUGUUUAAAGCCAACACCCAGACGAACUGGGUAAAUAAUGCCACUUUUCGCACGUGGAUCACUGACUCAGGGCAUGCAGAGACGCAAAGCCGCACUAAAGCACCGCAGCGUCAAGACGACAACACGCAAACGGCUGUUCGGCAAAUCAACGCUUCAGCCCCGUUGCGAUGCGCUCGUGUAAGGGAAUUAGAGCGUUAACUUUCACGUAAGCUACGAAAAAUGGCGUGCAACAGCGCCUCGUGCAAGCACGUCUUUCUGUAUUAUAACAUUCAACAUCACAUCACGACUGUGGUAGGCCGUCAACAUCAUCGCCAAAUAUCGUCAGUGAACGCAAAUAGAACAGCAAGCUGCGCUUAUGUCGAUUCCCACAGUGCGUGGGAUCUGCCUCUGUUGUUUAUAAUAAUAAUAAUAAUAAUAAUAAUAAUAAUAAUAAUAAUAAUAAUAAUAAUAAUAAUAAUAAUAAUAAUAAUAAUAAUAAUAAUAAUAAUUGCUUAGAGGUAGCGUAAAAUAAAUAGCCUCGAAAGUAAUAUACACACGUAGUUUAAAAGAAUAUAUGUAUUUAUGCUUUGAAAACGAAACCGAAAUUGAAAUAACUUCCACCGACGGGUGUCGCCGCGAUCGCUGCUGAGUCUCGCGGCGGGCCGCCGGGUGCACAUGUGUGUGUUCUCCGUGACAGUCUUGAAGUUGUGAGUAAUUAGAUUGUUUUUCGCUACGUUCAGGUUCCACCACCUCGUUGUUUUCGUGUACUUUCGUGUUCAUCGACGCGAAGGGAGCAUCCGGACUGAAGGCGACGCGAUUAUGCGUGAGAAAGAAAGGCAGUAGCGGCCUGCGACAUCGGCGUUUCUUUGUGAUAGUGUGUUUACUAUGCCUACGACGGCCGUCAUUCGUGGCCAACGAGAAAACAUCUUCCAUUCGGCCUGACCAGUGAUGAAGUGGACUUUUUUUUCGGCGGAAUCCAUCGUCAACAUCGUCCAUCCACUACGUAAACGAAAUGGCGUGCCCAGAGUACACAUCGUGACAGCGCUCCGCCUUCAAACCGAGGGCCUUUUGCAAGGCGGAUGGACGGCUCAUAUAAAAGUUAGUCAGUAUGAAGCAAUUGCAUGGGAACCGGCUGAUUGUCUUGGGCCUACACAUUGCUCAAAAGACAGGGAAGGUGUCUGAGCCGACAGGUAGAAAACAAGCAGAUGGCUACAGCGAUCAAUGAAGAAAUGGCUUCAUCUAUGAUGGCUCUCCUUAGGACAUUGGAAUGGAGCUACACAAAGGCAUCACCAGCCUCGCCUGUUCCCUGGAACAUUGGUUUGAAUAAGACUGUUCUUCAGUGUUGAACGACCACAAGACUUGUCACCACAUACAAGGCGUAGUGCAAGCUCUAAAUAUUGUACAGGUGGCUAGAAUAAAUGACCCUCCAUGCAGUC